rnacentral:rRNA from 1 species
CCGCCCGUCACACCACGAAAGUCAACUGCACCAGAAGUCAGUGUGCCAACCGUAAGGAGGCAGCUGCCCAAGGUGCGGUCGAUGAUUGGGGUG